rnacentral:sRNA from 1 species
AAAGGAGGACCAACGGCUAAAGCACGGGGCUCUGCCCGAACGCCGUUGUCAUCACCUCCUGUGAA